rnacentral:rRNA from 1 species
ACGUAGGGUGCAAGCGUUAAUCGGAAUUACUGGGCGUAAAGCGUGCGCAGGCGGUUGUGCAAGACAGAUGUGAAAUCCCCGGGCUCAACCUGGGAAUGGCAUUUGUGACUGCACGGCUAGAGUCUGUCAGAGGGGGGUGGAAUUCCACGUGUAGCAGUGAAAUGCGUAGAGAUGUGGAAGAACACCGAUGGCGAAGGCAGCCCCCUGGGAUGAGACUGACGCUCAUGUACGAAAGCGUGGGGAGCAAACAGGAUUAGAUACCCUGGUAGUCCACGCCCUAAACGAUGUCUACUAGUUGUCGGGGGGUAACUCCUUCGGUAACGCAGCUAACGCGUGAAGUAGACCGCCUGGGGAGUACGGUCGCAAGAUUA